UUUCAUAUUAUUACAUGGUUUAUUUAAUUAACUGAAAUUAGUUUAGUUUUAAUUUAAAAGAUUGGGGUGGUUAUUUAAUGGACUUUGAAAAAUUGAAGAAGCACAAAUUUUAGCCCAAUUUUAUACAAGGAAAGGCCCAAUUUUGCAACCAAAUUCCUCCUAACCCGUUUUCAACCCAGAACCCGCCCCGUUUUAAUUUUAAUCUCUUCCAUUAAUCCCCCUUAAUCCAACGACCCAUAGUAAUCCCCACUAUAACAUAAAAACCUAAUAUUCCCGAAAACCCUAACCCUAAAGAGACUCUCACCAAACGACGACCCCCUUGUUCUCUUCACUCUGCCCGCUACCCUGCCGCUUCAAACUAGCCGGAACUCCCCCAAACCCGGCAAGUUCACUCUCAUGGUCC
rnacentral:lncRNA from 1 species